AUGCUCUGGUUUCUCUUCACAUCAAAUAAAUCUUUUGCCUUUUACUAAAGAUUUCCACGGAGAGAAACAAAUCUGAGUUCUCAACCAAUUUUUUGAGGCCUUGCUCUGCAGGACU
ensembl:snRNA U5 U5 spliceosomal RNA